rnacentral:RNase_P_RNA from 1 species
CCAGUCGGCCGGGCGGCCGCCGCGUUUUGCGCGGAGGAAAGUCCGGGCUCCACGCAGAAACGGCGCCGGAUAACGUCCGGCGGGGGCGACCCCAGGGAAAGCGCCACAGAAAGCAAACCGCCGACCGGCUUGCCGGGCGGCAAGGGUGAAAGGGUGCGGUAAGAGCGCACCGCGCGCAUGGCGACAUGGGCGGCAUGGCAAGCCCCGCCGGGAGCAAAACCGAAUAGGAACGACGCGGGCUUCGGCCCAACCCUCUGCGGGGCAGUCGUUCGGGUUGGUUGCUCGAGGCCGCGCGCAAGCGCGGUCCCAGAGGAAUGGCCGCCACGCGCGGGGAAACCCGCGCCAUACAGAACCCGGCUUACAGGCCGACUGGCGAU